CGCGUAAGUUAUCUACCCCGGCAUCUGGAAUAACUCACAGAAAGGUGUGCUAAUACCGGAUACGUUGAUUCAUCAAGAAAGGUGGCUUUUGCUACCGUGCCGGGAUGAGCUUGCGUACCAUUAGCUAGUUGGUGGGGUAAUGGCCUACCAAGGCGACGAUGGUUAGCGGGUCUGAGAGGAUGAUCCGCCACACUGGAACUGGAACACGGACCAGACUCCUACGGGAGGCAGCAGUGAGGAAUAUUGCGCAAUGGGGGAAACCCUGACGCAGCGACGCCGCGUGGAUGAUGAAGGCCUUCGGGUUGUAAAAUCCUGUCAGAUGGGAAGAACUGUUACAUGUCUAAUAUAUGUGUAACCUGACGGUACCAUCAAAGGAAGCACCGGCUAACUCCGUG
rnacentral:rRNA from 1 species